UUAAUCACCACAAGGAAUUUGUUUCGGUGCGAAUUAGGCAGCAAGGUUUGACAAGAAACUGACGACGACCCACAGACAUGAGAACCUUUGUUGUGUUCUGCUUUUUGAUGGCUUUCGUGAUGGCCUCCCAAGCGCAGAGAGAGGCUACAGAAAUGGACGAAGACGAGUCAGCAGCCUUUAACGAGGAGUUGAAACUCGCCUCUGGAGCUGAAGAUGUCCCUGAAUUCAUAAAAGACUCAGAAAAUCCAGCUGUCGACGCAAGGAAGAAGUAAAGAUCGAAGACGGCGAGACUGAACAUGAUUGCAAACGAAUAAAUCAAUUAUCCUCAAAACGUGAAUUAUAUAUUUUGAAUAUACUGAAAGAUGAUGAUUUGUGAUGCUUUUUUCAACCUGGUGCGACACUGAUUAAAUUUGAAAGAUGAAGUCUCUUUUCAGAA